GCCGCCGUGGAUCACGGUGGAUCGUCCUCGUCCUAUAAAGUGCUCUCUCAGCUUGCAGAGGAAGAGCGGGUUCGACUCCCACCGGUGGCA